UUGACUGGAUGGUACCAGAGACGCAAUAGCAGGCAAAAUUUUUGGGAUACGAUGGAAUUUGGUAAUUGAAAAGUUCGAAAGAUCGCGUGUUCAAGGCUUCGGAGAUUCGAAAACUUGAAAAUUUGGAGAUCUGGCGACUGGAAUCUUUCACCUGAAACAAAUAUGAACACGCUAGCUUUCGGAUCGGCGAAAAGUCCGAUUAUUCUGCUCGAAGUCUGAAAUCUUGAUCGUGCCUUGUAUUUACCGCAGAUUCUAACCGCAACUAUCGUCACGCGUUCCUCUCGAUCAAAUCUACCGCAAUGUUCUCGCGUAACCGCAUUUCGUCUGCAUCUUACGAAACGCAGCGUAGAAUUCUAACGAGACGAGGAAAAAUCUGCCACUCGAGGGGACUCGAGGAAGAAAAUUGCGGUUUGUGGAAAGAUACGAAGCCAACGAGGAACAGGGGAACAGAUAAAUCCGUUAAUUUCUCGCCCUACUAAUUUGUCGUUUAACGAGGGAACGCGAAGAGGUUUCCUAUAAUGGAGCAGAAAACCCGACAAUAGAAACGAAUAGCCGGUGGUAAAUGUUUCCUGUCACUGGGAGACCAGCUGCACAGAUAAUCGUCUAUCCUCUGGAGAGGAAGAAGAACGAUCUGGUGCGAGAGAAAGCGCGAAAACCGUCACUUUUCUUUUCAAUUUCGCAACAAAUCUACGUAGAUCGUUAACAGAUCCUCGAACAGGACUUUUA
rnacentral:misc_RNA from 1 species